ACAAUGGAGAGUUUGAUCCUGGCUCAGGAUGAACGCUAGCGGCAGGCCUAAUACAUGCAAGUCGAACGCGAUUAAGGUGCUUGCACCUUAUGAAAGUGGCGCACGGGUGCGUAACGCGUAUGCAACCUACCUUUAUCAGGGGGAUAGCCCGGAGAAAUCCGGAUUAACACCGCAUAAAAUCACAGGAUAGCAUUAUCCAAUGAUCAAAUAUUUAUAGGAUAAAGAUGGGCAUGCGUGUCAUUAGCUAGUUGGCGG
rnacentral:ncRNA from 1 species